UUAAUAUAAUAAAUGGCAAUUUUAUUAAUGUUGAGGCCCGAGUUUUCUGCCAGGAUUCCAAUGCCAAGCCUUGGGUACCGCUAGGACGAACUUGCCCAGUUGUCUGCGCCAGUGUCCUUAAUGCCAUAGACAAAUUGAUAAUGCUAGACUACAAGAAAUCAAUUAAAGAUCAACUUGGUGGUCGAAACAAAAUUAAUAAUGACAUUAUGGCUAAUGAUUAUAAUGAUGAGUUAAGAAUGAAUUUCCAUCCGAAUUUACGAAGAAAACUGUCAGAUCUUGACAAAAACGAUAAAGGAAAUACAGAUGUUAAAAAAUUCAUACAAGACGUAGAUAGAGUUGAUAACAAUCCAAAAAGUUCGAAAGAAACCAAUGUUAAAGUAGAUACAUCUAAAAAUUUAAAACAAUAUCAUAGAAACACUAAAGAGGAUAUU